rnacentral:rRNA from 1 species
UGCGUAGGUGGCGCCGUAAGUGGGGUGUGAAAUCCCGGGGCUUAACCCCGGGACUGCAUUCCAUACUGCGGUGCUUGAGGACUGGAGAGGAGACUGGAAUUUACGGUGUAGCAGUGAAAUGCGUAGAGAUCGUAAGGAAGACCAGUGGCGAAGGCGGGUCUCUGGACAGUUCCUGACACUGAGGCACGAAGGCCAGGGGGAGCAAACG